GAUGAACGCUCGCGGCAGGCCUAACACAUGCAAGUCGAGGGGUAGAAGGAGCUUGCUCCUUUGAGACCGGCGCACGGGUGCGUAACGCGUAUGCAAUCUACCUUGUACAGGGGAAUAGCCCAGAGAAAUUUGGAUUAAUGCCCCAUAGUAUAUAACCUUCGCAUGUUGGUUAUAUUAAAGUUCCAACGGUACAAGAUGAGCAUGCGUCCCAUUAGUUAGUUGGUAAGGUAACGGCUUACCAAGACGAUGAUGGGUAGGGGUCCUGAGAGGGAGAUCCCCCACACUGGUACUGAGACACGGACCAGACUCCUACUGGAGGCAGCAGUGAGGAAUAUUGGUCAAUGGUCGCAAGACUGAACCAGCCAUGCCGCGUGCAGGAAGACGGUCCUAUGGAUUGUAAACUGCUUUUAUACAGGAAGAAACCCUCCCACGUGUGGGAGCUUGACGGUACUGUAGGAAUAAGGAUCGGCUAACUCCGUG
rnacentral:rRNA from 1 species